AAUUGGAAAGGGUUUUGUGUUUGUGGAGUGCUAGCGUGGAAAGUUGGGGUGCAGCUUUAGUACUCAAGCUCCAUAUAGGUUUCUAAGCGCUCACGUGAUGCGGCUAUGCUCGCGACAUGAGCUGCCUUACCUCCUGGAUGCUGUUCCAAUGCGCCAAUGAGUGUGAAGCAGCCGAGGAGCCGCCCUUUAAAUGGAGAUGCUGCAGGAUGAUCUCGGCAAAAAUGCCGUUGACUGAUAGGCUCAAGAAAGCUGUCCAGACUCUCAGCCCCCGAAGGCCUGACCCUUCUUCGCCCUACAGUUAUUGUGUUCUUCUCGUCACCCGCAGCCGUCCAGCAACCAAAUGGGAGCGCCCUGGACAACCAGGCCGUGGAGGAGACGAACCGAGAUGCAGGUUCCCAGAGUCCCCAAACCAAGAAACCUGGGUGACGGACAUCCCCCAGAACCACAGCCCCCGCACUGAUGAUGCCUUCCGAGCGUGGGGCCCAGUGGCCUUUCGAGGAGCACUGGUGAUGGCCUCUGAAAGUGUGGAGGUUGUGGAAGAAGUGCUCGAGGACUUUGCAGCUUUUCUGGAGCACAGGAUUCCCUUGAGCUCAGACUUGUCUUUUGGGGACUGCAGGAGGAACCCCCCAGAGCCACACAGGUCGCCUCCCCACUUCUCGCGGCUUCCGUUUCCAUUCCAAGAGGUCAGGGUGCCCAUCGACACUCUGGAGGCCCAUGCAGAGAAAGUGGUCACCGCAGUGCUCCAGAUGAUGAAACGGUCUUUUGAUCAGAUGAUGAGAUCUGCUGCCGUUCACCAAAGCCUGUUUUUCGAAAGCCACCUGAUUGAUCUGACUUUAGCGAAUUUCAGACCGUUUCAAGACCUUUGGGACAUGCUACGGGAGAUAGAGCCAAGCCCUCCUUCUGCUACAGGCAGCCCGAAGUUCAAAGAAAAGUUGUAGUCCUGGAUCCAGUGGACUACACAGGGCACGGCUCCUUCCUGACUAUGUGCAGUGCCCAACAGCUGGACUGAGAUCACAGCAGAUUUCCUGGAAGAUGCUUUCGGGAAGGUUGUAAUUGAAAUGCACUGUCUACAUAGUUAUAUGUCCCUGGCCACUGAAGAGUACUUGGCCCACUACGUAAGCAGGCCCUUGGGAGAGCUAAAUGGCACUCACUGCCGUCUACAACCAGUCCCCUCUGGGGUCUCCUAAAUAGGAGGAAGGGAUUCAGUUUCCAAGACGUAUAUGAAAGAGCCCCAGUGAGCAGCCACUUGAGGAAGGAGGGCUCCUCCCCCAAACGAGUGAUUUUUUUUUUUAAAGAAAUUUUUAUUGGGGCUCAAUAAAGCUGUCCAGGCUCUCAGGCCCUGAAGUCCUGAACCUUCUUCGCCUGACAGUUAUUGUGUUCUUCUUGUCACCCGCAGCCAUCCAGCAACCAAAUGGGAGCGCCCUGGACAACCAGGCCGUGGAGGACACCAGCAGGGAUGCAGGCAGCCCGAAGUUGAAACAAAACG